rnacentral:rRNA from 1 species
UACGUAGGGUGCAAGCGUUGUCCGGAUUUAUUGGGUUUAAAGGGUGCGUAGGCGGCUUUAUAAGUCCGUGGUGAAAGCCAACAGCUCAACUGUUGAACUGCCAUGGAUACUGUAAGGCUUGAGUACAGACGAGGUAGGCGGAAUGGAUGGUGUAGCGGUGAAAUGCAUAGAUACCAUCCAGAACACCGAUUGCGUAGGCAGCUUACUAGGCUGUAACUGACGCUGAGGCACGAAAGCGUGGGGAGCGAACAGG